rnacentral:rRNA from 1 species
AGAACCUGAAACCGUGUACGUACAAGCAGUGGGAGCACCUUCGUGGUGUGACUGCGUACCUUUUGUAUAAUGGGUCAGCGACUUAUAUUCUGUAGCAAGGUUAACCGAAUAGGGGAGCCGAAGGGAAACCGAGUCUUAACUGGGCGUUAAGUUGCAGGGUAUAGACCCGAAACCCGGUGAUCUAGCCAUGGGCAGGUUGAAGGUUGGGUAACACUAACUGGAGGACCGAACCGACUAAUGUUGAAAAAUUAGCGGAUGACUUGUGGCUGGGGGUGAAAGGCCAAUCAAACCGGGAGAUAGCUGGUUCUCCCCGAAAGCUAUUUAGGUAGCGCCUCGUGAAUUCAUCUUCGGGGGUAGAGCACUGUUUCGGCUAGGGGGUCAUCCCGACUUACCAACCCGAUGCAAACUACGAAUACCGAAGAAUGUUAUCACGGGAGACACACGGCGGGUGCUAACGUCCGUCGUGAAGAGGGAAACAACCCAGACCGCCAGCUAAGGUCCCAAAGUUCUGGUUAAGUGGGAAACGAUGUGGGAAGGCUCAGACAGCCAGGAUGUUGGCUUAGAAGCAGCCAUCAUUUAAAGAAAGCGUAAUAGCUCACUGGUCGAGUCGGCCUGCGCGGAAGAUGUAACGGGGCUCAAACCAGGCACCGAAGCCGCGGAUUCACGCUAAGCGUGAGUGGUAGGGGAGCGUUCUGUAAGUCUGCGAAGGUGUAUCGAGAGGUAUGCUGGAGAUAUCAGAAGUGCGAAUGCUGACGUAAGUAACGAUAAAGGGGGUGAAAAACCUCCUCGCCGGAAGACCAAGGGUUCCUGUCCAACGUUAAUCGGGGCAGGGUGAGUCGACCCCUAAGGCGAGGCCGAAAGGCGUAGUCGAUGGGAAACAGGUUAAUAUUCCUGUACUUGGUGUUACUGCGAAGGGGGGACGGAGAAGGCUAUGUUGGCCGGGCGACGGUUGUCCCGGUUUAAGCGUGUAGGCUGGUUUUCCAGGCAAAUCCGGAAAAUCAAGGCUGAGGCGUGAUGACGAGGCACUACGGUGCUGAAGCAACAAAUGCCCUGCUUCCAGGAAAAGCCUCUAAGCAUCAGGUAACAUCAAAUCGUACCCCAAACCGACACAGGUGGUCAGGUAGAGAAUACCAAGGCGCUUGAGAGAACUCGGGUGAAGGAACUAGGCAAAAUGGUGCCGUAACUUCGGGAGAAGGCACGCUGAUAUGUAGGUGAAGCCCCUGCGGGUGGAGCUGAAAUCAGUCGAAGAUACCAGCUGGCUGCAACUGUUUAUUAAAAACACAGCACUGUGCAAACACGAAAGUGGACGUAUACGGUGUGACGCCUGCCCGGUGCCGGAAGGUUAAUUGAUGGGGUUAGCGCAAGCGAAGCUCUUGAUCGAAGCCCCGGUAAACGGCGGCCGUAACUAUAACGGUCCUAAGGUAGCGAAAUUCCUUGUCGGGUAAGUUCCGACCUGCACGAAUGGCGUAAUGAUGGCCAGGCUGUCUCCACCCGAGACUCAGUGAAAUUGAACUCGCUGUGAAGAUGCAGUGUACCCGCGGCAAGACGGAAAGACCCCGUGAACCUUUACUAUAGCUUGACACUGAACAUUGAGCCUUGAUGUGUAGGAUAGGUGGGAGGCUUUGAAGUGUGGACGCCAGUCUGCAUGGAGCCGACCUUGAAAUACCACCCUUUAAUGUUUGAUGUUCUAACGUUGACCCGUAAUCCGGGUUGCGGACAGUGUCUGGUGGGUAGUUUGACUGGGGCGGUCUCCUCC